rnacentral:rRNA from 1 species
GUCAACACAGGUGGCCCCCACAAACCGCCACUCGCCAGAGAAGUACAAGUGAAAAACCAGAAACUCAAAGGACUUGGCGGUGCCCCACAUCGACCUAGAGGAGCCUGUCCCAUAAUCGAUACCCCACGCUAAACCUAACCUACUUUUGCUUUUUCAGCCUAUAUACCGCCGUCGCCAGCCUGCCUAAUGAUAGACACACAGCAGGCAAAACAGUCCUCACUAACACGUCAGGUCAAGGUGUAGCUAAUAAGUAGGGUUCAGAUGGGCUACAUUUUCUAGAUACAAGAAAACCACCACACGCACUAUGAAACAUAGGCCGUAAGGCGGAUUUAGCAGUAAACUAGGGCAAGAAAGCCCAAUUGAAAAUUGCCCUGGG